CCUACGGGUGGCAGCAGUGGGGAAUAUUGGGCAAUGGGCGAAAGCCUGACCCAGCAACGCCGCGUGAAGGAAGAAGGCUUUCGGGUUGUAAACUUCUUUUGACAGGGAAGAGCAGAAGACGGUACCUGUCGAAUAAGCCACGGCUAACUACGUGCCAGCAGCCGCGGUAAUACGUAGGUGGCGAGCGUUAUCCGGAAUGAUUGGGCGUAAAGGGUGCGUAGGCGGCCUGCUAAGUCUGGAGUGAAAGGUACCGGCUCAACCGGUAUAGGCUCUGGAAACUGGCGGGCUAGAGAGCAGGAGAGGGCGGUGGAACUCCAUGUGUAGCGGUAAAAUGCGUAGAUAUAUGGAAGAACACCAGUGGCGAAGGCGGCCGCCUGGCCUGUUACUGACGCUGAGGCACGAAAGCGUGGGGAGCAAAUAGGAUUAGAUACCCCGGUAGUC
rnacentral:rRNA from 1 species